UUAAAACAUUAAUGCAAGAUUGUGAUUAUAUUUAAAUAAAAAAGUUGUUUAAAAUAUCAAUGCAAGAUUGUUAUUAUAUUUAAUUUAAUUAUAUUUUAGUUAUACUUAACAAUAUUAGGCAUUCAAGAUUGUUUAAAACAUUAAUGCAAGAUUGUUAUUGUAUUUAAUUUAAUUAUAUUUUAGUUAUACUUAACCGUUGUUUUAGAGUGAGUUCUGCUAGGAUAGGGGUCGACAGGAAAAAUUAUAUAAGCGUAGAAGAGGGGUAGAUUGAAUAUUGAAGAAGAAGAUUAUUCACNGCCCAAAAAGAAGGUUGUUUGGGGUUCCUGCUACACAAUGGAUUUUAGUCUAUAAUGCAAGACAUCCAAUGAAGCAAAGCUGCAACGGGUUAUGAACUCAGAUUCUGUUUUGACAGAGGAUUUGAUUGUAGACAACAUCAUCCUCUUAGACACAUCUUAUUCAACAAAUGUUAUUGGUUCUUUACCUGAGGUGAGUUACUUUAUUCUAAAUUUUUAACNAUUCAGGUCCACUUUAUUUUACCUAGAAAAAAAUGAUUGUUAGGUGCAAACAACAAUGUCAACUUUGAAGUAUAUCAAUUGCAUGCAAGAGUUUCCCAUGGGCUAUUUCAUUCCUCCAUUGAGGAACACUAAUGUAUUUGGUUUUUUUUUUUUAAUUGUAUUUUUGGUUUUACAGGUAUGCAUACUAUGAUUUCUAUCUUGUUUGAUGUCAAGACUAUUGUGGUUCUUUCAAUCGAAGAUAAUAUUUUUUGGGUUCUCAAAGUAAAUUGUUAUUCAAUUAGCGGCAUGUUUGAAUUUUAUUUAUUUAUUUAAAAAUUUACAUAAAGCAUUUUCUAUGAUAGCUUGGAUNAUGAAUCUGCUUGGUGAGGGCCUUUUUGAGGAGCUAGUACAGAUAAAGGGAUGAAGAAAAUACAUUGAACUGGGUAAAAAGAGUGUUGUUUGGGCCAAGGUCUAAUGGGUCAGCAUUGUUAGGAAGCCCAGAGUUUUAAUAUGUUGUAGCUGAAGUUGAUAUAUGCAUACUAUGAUUUCUAUCUUGUUUGAUGUCAAGACUAUUGUGGUUCUUUCAGUCGAAGAUAAUAUUUUUCGGGUUCUCAAAGUAAAUUGUUAUUCAAUUAGCGGCAUGUUUGAAUUUUAUUUAUUUGUUUAAAAAUUUACACAAAGCAUUUUCUAUGAUAGCUUGGAUNAUGAAUCUGCUUGGUGAGGGCAUUUUUGAGGAGCUAGUACAGGUGGAUUCUAAACUUAAACUCCCUAUCUGUUUGGCUGAGUGGUUUUUCUGUUACUNGAUNUCAGUCUGAAUGAAGCUGCAUUGUUUGAUGAUUCACUGAUGAANAUUGAUUUUGAUUUUCUUGUAGGAUUCAUUUAGGUUGUCUUCUAGGAUUGUUGNGACUUUAUUCUUUCCAUUGUUUCUGUAAUUAUAAUUCACAUUAGGUUCUUUUUCUUCUAUUAUUGUUUCUUGUUUCUGUUUUUAGCUUUCAAUUAGUAAUUGUCUUAGGUUUCUUUUUCAUUUGUUAGGUUAUGUUUCAGCUUUUAAUUAGAAUUUGCUUUAGGUAUUAGGUUUUGUUCUAAAUCUUUCUUUCCUUUGUAGGUUCUCUUUCAAGCUGUCCAUUAGGAUUUAUUUUCCCUUUUCGUCAUUCAUUGUUCAUGUUAGGAUUGGUUUAGGUUCCUUGUUCUUCUUUGGUUUAGGCUAUCUUUUUUUCUUUUCAUCUUGUUGUUUUCUUUGGUAGAACCUUAGUUUAAGAGCCGUUUUAGGUUACGUAUUCUUUUGUCUUAGCUGUUUUAAAUUUUAGUUGAAUCUAGUUAGCUUUGUAUAGAUUGUACAUUGUUGAGAUCAUGCUGUUAGACAGUUUUAGGUCCUGUUUCAUACUCUUAUUCAUUCUUUGUUGAUUUAAUGCAUUUCUUAGUUUCAUUUACUUUAAUUAGAAUUGUUAAUUGUGUUUUCUAUUUUAGAUUCAAGUAUAAGUAGUUCUAGCAUUAUUUUUACAUNUAAGUUCAGUCCAAUGAAGCAAUUUUUGCAUAAAAGAGAGUAAAAUGUCAGUUUUAGCAAAUUCCUUUACCUGGAGAGAUUUUAGGCCCAAUUUUUGUCUUUCAAGUGUGAUUUCAUGCAUGUUUGGCUUUUAAUUCUAAUUUUGCAUUGAUUCUCUAUGAUAAGCUUGCUCUUGGUAGAAUUUAGAAAUGAUUUAGGCAUUAAUUCUUUUUCUUCAUCCAUAGCCAUUCAGCUUAACCAUUUCAGUUUUAUCCAUUGUACCUUUCUUUUGAGCUAUAGCCUAUUUUUUUUUGUUUCCAUUCAUUAUAAACCCUGUUUACCCCCCAUCAUUAAUCAACCUAUAGAGAUUUGUGAGAAGUAGGGAGAGGAACUAGAACUUAGUGAGUGCAACAGAAAAGUAAGGCCAGAAAAAAAAAAGAAAAAGAAAAAGAA